rnacentral:rRNA from 1 species
AAAUGAAUAGACGGGGGCCCGCACAAGCGGAGGAACAUGUGGUUUAAUUCGAUGAUACGCGAGGAACCUUACCCGGGCUCGAACGGCUGGUGAACGACUCAGAGAUGAGGAGGUCCUUCGGGACGCCAGUCGAGGUGCUGCAUGGUUGUCGUCAGCUCGUGCCGUGAGGUGUCGGCUUAAGUGCCAUAACGAGCGCAACCCUUGCUGAUAGUUACCAUCAGGUAAUGCUGGGGACUCUAUCAGGACUGCCGCCGUAAGGUGAGAGGAAGGGGGGGAUGACGUCAAAUCAGCACGGCCCUUACGUCCGGGGCGACACACGUGUUACAAUGGCAGGUACAGAGGGCGGCCAGGCAGCGAUGCCGCGCAAAUCUCGAAAGCCUGUCUCAGUUCGGAUUGGAGUCUGCAACUCGACUCCAUGAAGUUGGAUUCGCUAGUAAUCGCGCAUCAGCCAUGGCGCGGUGAAUACGUUCCCGGGCCUUGUACACACCGCCCGU